CAAGGACACCAGAAUUUACAGCCAUAUACCAAAACAUCCUUCCGUCACCAUACUGACCCAAUCAGAAACUAGAAGGAGACACUGCACCCUGGAGGGAGCUCUGAAGUGACCCCUGGCAACAAAGAAGAGAGCCAUCUAUUAAUGCAAGAGAGAAUUAGCCCUGGCAGUAGGGAACCAAGCUGCACUGAGUCCAU